rnacentral:tRNA from 3 species
GGAGAGGUGGCUGAGUGGUCGAAAGCGAACGACUCGAAAUCGUUUGACGGGAAACCGUCCGUGGGUUCGAAUCCCACCCUCUCCG